rnacentral:miRNA from 1 species
UAUUGCAGCGCUGGGUGCAU